GUUUCCGUAGUGUAGUGGUUAUCACGUUUGCCUAUCACGCGUAAGGUCCCCGGUUCGAGACCGGGCGGAAACA
rnacentral:tRNA from 1 species